GUAGGUGGCAAGCGUUGUCCGGAUUUACUGGGUGUAAAGGGCGUGCAGCCGGGAAUGCAAGUCAGAUGUGAAAUCCAUGGGCUUAACCCAUGAACUGCAUUUGAAACUGUAUUUCUUGAGUACUGGAGAGGCAAUCGGAAUUCCUAGUGUAGCGGUGAAAUGCGUAGAUAUUAGGAGGAACACCAGUGGCGAAGGCGGAUUGCUGGACAGCAACUGACGGUGAGGCGCGAAAGUGUGGGGAGCAAACAGGAUUAGAUACCCUGGUAGUCCACACUGUAAACGAUGAAUACUAGGUGUGCGGGGACUGACCCCCUGCGUGCCGCAGUUAACACAAUAAGUAUUCCACCUGGGGAGUACGAUCGCAAGGUUG
rnacentral:rRNA from 1 species